GGGGAAUUUUGGACAAUGGACGCAAGUCUGAUCCAGCCAUUCCGCGUGCAGGACGAAGGCCUUCGGGUUGUAAACUGCUUUUGUACGGAACGAAAAAGCUCUUACUAAUACUAGGAGUCCAUGACGGUACCGUAAGAAUAAGCACCGGCUAACUACGUGCCAGCAGCCGCGGUAAUACGUAGGGUGCAAGCGUUAAUCGGAAUUACUGGGCGUAAAGCGUGCGCAGGCGGUUAUAUAAGACAGAUGUGAAAUCCCCGAGCUUAACUUGGGAACUGCAUUUGUGACUGUAUAGCUAGAGUACGGCAGAGGGGGAUGGAAUUCCGCGUGUAGCAGUGAAAUGCGUAGAUAUGCGGAGGAACACCGAUGGCGAAGGCAAUCCCCUGGGCCUGUACUGACGCUCAUGCACGAAAGCGUGGGGAGCAAACAGGA
rnacentral:rRNA from 1 species